GAGGUAGUGACAAUAAAUCACAAUGCGGAACUUCUGUUUUGCAAUUGGAUUGAGAACAACGCACAACACUUAUCGAUAAACAAUUGGAGGGCAAGUCUGGUGCCAGCAGCCGCGGUAAUUCCAGCUCCAAUAGCGUAUAUUAACGUUGUUGCAGUUAAAAAGCUCGUAGUUGAAGUGAAGUGUGAACCUUCUGGAUUUUCGUUCGAAUUUCUUGCUGGUUCGCACUCUUUCCAAAUAGUUUGCAUGGGUAUUCACUUAUCUGUGUAUUGCAUUUGGUCAUUUACUGUGAGAAAAUUAGAGUGUUCAAAGCAUACGUUUGUUUGAAUACAUUAGCAUGGAAUAAUUCGAAAAGGCUUUCAUGUUCGAUUUGAUUGGUUUGUUCGUGAAGGCAAGAUUAAAAGGGACAGUUGGGGGUAUUCAUAUUCAAUAGUCAGAGGUGAAGUUCUCGGAUUUAUGGAAGAUGAACAAGUGCGAAAGCA
rnacentral:rRNA from 1 species